AUCAUCAUCAUCAUCACCUUUGCAUAACUAAUUAGCAGAUCCUGGCUUUUUUUUUCAAUUUACGACUUCAGAAAGAAGGGAGUGCCAUACAUAACACGGGCGGAAAUGUCACCAGAGUAAACAAGCAGGUCCCCGCAGGCAGAGCUUUAUUACGAAAGGACACUGUGAAGUCAUAAAGCUGAUAAGAAACCGCUAGAUAAAGCUGGUAAGAAUCCCGCUAGGCUCAGUGUUGGUUGGCUUCUUCGUCAACACAGCUUCGCAAUGCGUCUGCUGCGUCUCCUGUUGGUGCUGGCGGCGGCCGUCCUGGCUGCCUCGCCCGUCGCUGCGAAGCCAUACUACCCUCCAAUCCCACCGCGACUGCCAUAUCCCAGUCAAUUACCAGUCCCUUGGUGGUAUUGAAUCAGAGGUACUGCAGGGUAAGCCGCCUCACGCAUCACCUGGACACAACACCUGCCUGCUGCCGGAAGCUCAUUAACCUGGACACUCCUAUUAUCUCCGCCUCCCUGCGACACCUUGGUCUCCUGACGCUGCUGAAUGUUCGUAUUCCCUUAAGUGAAACGGAGCCAUUAUUUUCUUAACCUUUAAAUGUAUCCCUGCUUAAAGUUACAGAAAUAAAUGUUUGCAUAAUU